rnacentral:rRNA from 1 species
AGGACGAACGCUGGCGGCGUGCUUAACACAUGCAAGUCGAACGAGGUCCAACCUUCGGGUGAAGACCUAGUGGCGAACGGGUGCGUAACACGUGAGGAACUUGUCCCGGUCUCUGGGAUAACAGUUGGAAACGACUGCUAAUACCGGAUGACGUCGGAGCGUCGCAUGGCGCGCUGACGAAAGGGUUACUGGAUCGGGAGAGCCUCGCGGCCUAUCAGCUUGUUGGUGGGUAACGGCCUACCAAGGCAUCGACGGGUAGCUGGUCUGAGAGGAUGAUCAGCCACACUGGGACUGAGACACGGCCCAGACUCCUACGGGAGGCAGCAGUGGGGAAUCUUGCGCAAUGGGCGAAAGCCUGACGCAGCAACGCCGCGUGCGGGAAGAAGGCUCUCGGGUUGUAAACCGCUUUCAGAAGGAACGAAACUGACGGUACUUUCAGAAGAAGGUGCGGCCAACUACGUGCCAGCAGCCGCGUAA